rnacentral:tRNA from 1 species
ACCUGGCUGGCUCAGCAGGUGGGGCGUGUGACUCUUGACCUCAGGGUUGUGAGUUCGAGCCCCACGUUGGGUG